rnacentral:rRNA from 1 species
UACAGAGGGUGCAAGCGUUAAUCGGAAUUACUGGGCGUAAAGCGCGCGUAGGUGGUUUGUUAAGUUGGAUGUGAAAUCCCCGGGCUCAACCUGGGAACUGCAUCCAAAACUGGCAAGCUAGAGUAGGGCAGAGGGUGGUGGAAUUUCCUGUGUAGCGGUGAAAUGCGUAGAUAUAGGAAGGAACACCAGUGGCGAAGGCGACCACCUGGGCUCAUACUGACACUGAGGUGCGAAAGCGUGGGGAGCAACCAGG